UGGCGAACGGGUGAGUCACACGUGGAUAACCUACCUCAAGGUUGGGGAUAACAUUUGGAAACAGAUGCUAAUACCGAAUAAAACUUCGUAUCGCAUGAUACAAGGUUAAAAGGCGCUACGGCGUCACCUAGAGAUGGAUCCGCGGUGCACUAGUUAGUUGGUGGGGUAAAGGCCUACCAAGACAAUGAUGCAUAGCCGAGUUGAGAGACUGAUCGGCCACAUUGGGACUGAGACACGGCCCAAACUCCUACGGGAGGCUGCAGUAGGGAAUCUUCCACAAUGGGCGAAAGCCUGAUGGAGCAACGCCGCGUGUGUGAUGAAGGCUUUCGGGUCGUAAAGCACUGUUGUAUGGGAAGAACAGCUAGAGUAGGGAAUGACUUUAG
rnacentral:rRNA from 1 species